UACGUAGGGUGCGAGCGUUAAUCGGAAUUACUGGGCGUAAAGCGUGCGCAGGUGGUUCUAUAAGACAGAUGUGAAAUCCCUGGGCUUAACCUAGGAAUUGCAUUUGUGACUGUAGGGCUAGAGUGUGUCAGAGGGGGGUGGAAUUCCACGUGUAGCAGUGAAAUGCGUAGAUAUGUGGAGGAACACCAAUGGCGAAGGCAGCCCCCUGGGAUAACACUGACGCUCAUGCACGAAAGCGUGGGGAGCAAACAGG
rnacentral:rRNA from 1 species